GUCACUUUGCCGGAGUGGUCUAACGGGAUCGCCUGCUACUAUUAGGUCAGCAUUCAGCGGUUGGGCUUUGCCCGCGUGUGUUCGAAUCGCACAGGUGACG